AACGAACGCUGGCGGCGUGCCUAACACAUGCAAGUCGAACGCGAAAAGCAGUAAUGCUGAGUAGAGUGGCGCACGGGUGAGUAACACGUAACUGACAUGUCCCAGAGACAAGGAUAACUGUUCGAAAGGAUAGCUAAUACUUGGUAAGCCCACGAAUUUGGGUUUGAGGGAAAAGGGUCGGGAUUCUUCGGAACCGAUCGCUUUGGGAGUGGGUUGCGGCCCAUCAGCUAGUUGGCGGGGUAAAAGCCCACCAAGGCUAAGACGGGUAGCUGGUCUGAGAGGAUGAUCAGCCACACUGGAACUGAGACACGGUCCAGACUCCUACGGGAGGCAGCAGUGGGGAAUCUUGCGCAAUGGGAGAAAUCCUGACGCAGCAACGCCGCGUGGGUGAUGAAGGUCUUCGGAUCGUAAAGCCCUGUCGGAGGGGAAGAUGCUUUCGCAUGCUAACAGUAUGCGGAGGUGACGGUACCCUCAAAGGAAGCACCGGCUAACUCUGUGCCAGCAGCCGCAGUAAAAC
rnacentral:rRNA from 1 species